CCCCACCCCCCCAACUGCCCCCCUGCACCCCCCGCACCCUCCACGCCGGCCCCGCCGCUACCUGCUGGCUCCUGCCGAGGCUCUGCCCGCUGCCGCUGCUGCUCCCGGGGCUCAUGGGCGCAUGGUGGCUCCUCGGGGGGGCUCCGCCGGCCGCGGCCCAGCCCUGGCUGUUGCCCCCGCCGUACUGCGAGACCAUAUCCGCGGCUGCCGGGCCCUUGGCUGCUGCUGCUGCUGCGGCCGCUGCUGCUGCUCCCCCGUCCUGCGGCCCGCCGCUAUAGUCGCCCCCGGGGUACCCCUGGUAGCCGCGGGCGGAGCUGGGGGAGGUGAGGAGCUGGUUGAGGGUGGGGGUGGCGGUGGGCUGCGGGGUGGCGCCCCCUCCUCCUGCUCCGCCGCCGGCCGCCGAGGGCCCCAUGACCCCGAAGCGCUGCUGCUGGAAGGCGGCGGCGGCGGGGGACUUAGCCCCGGCGGAGCUCUGAGCGCUGCCCCGGGGGGAGCUCAGGGCGUAGGCCUGGGGGGGAGGCGGGUAGGAAGCGGCGCUGCGGCCGGCCGCGUAGUAGGAGUUGUACUGGUGGUUGGCGAAGCCGUGCUCGGCGCCGCCGUGCGAGUUCUGGGGAGGGGGCGGCCCCGCGGGGGCUCCGGUCGGCCCCGGGUAGGGCUGCUCCAGGCCCCCGCUCUGCAGCGCUGCCAUGCCAGGGCUUUGUUGUCCGCCAUGUUGGUGGAAGGCAGCGGCGGCGGCGGCCGCAGCAGCGGCGGCGGCGGCGGCGGCCUGGGCGCCCCGGCCGUAGGGCUGCCCGAAGCCGUAGGCUGGCGGGGGCAAGGCGGCCGGGUGGGAAGGGGGAGGCUGCUGCUGCUGCUGCUGCGGCGGCUGCUGCUGCUGCUGCUGCUGCGGCGCCCCCACCCCGUCGCUGCUGCCGCCGCCGCCGCCGCCACCGGGCGGCUCCGGGAGGUUAUUGUUCAGGGUGGCGGCGGCAGCGGCGGGCCUGGGGCCCGGGUUCCCGUUCGAGCUCUUCAGAAUGAAGCAGAUGGAAAAGCUGGAGGAGGACGGCACGGGAACGGAGCACUGCUGAAAACUGCAAGCCCUGCACUAAUGCUGUAGAGGAGCGAGCCUGGAUGCCAGGAGAGACGGAAAGAAACCAGGCAUAUCAACUUCACAUAUUGCAUUCCUCACAUUUGAAAUGACUAUUUUAAUUAAACAUCUGUCAGAAUAUCUGCUUUAAGCCUCGUAUUUAAAACGGGGAAAGAAAAUUCAGCUGCAGCUAUUCACUGUAGGCUCCUUAGGGCUCUGUCCUAGAAGAUGCAAAAGCCACUGGCCUCGGGCCAUCGGAGUACUUAAGUAUAUGCGUAAUUUUAAACAUCGGCAGCCCCAGUGAUUUUAAGCAUAUACUCCCUUAAAGUUAACCAUGUACUCAGCACUUUGCAGGAUCCGCCCAUAAGACUCAUACCAGCUCCUAGCUCAAGAAAAUGAGUAUCUGUGCAUCUGAGAACACAAAGAAAAUCUUCUUUGGAGAAGGGCUAAAGAUUUUUGAUUUCUAAAAGACACCAGCUCAUCCGUAUUGGGAACUCAGGUCACACUGAAAUAAAAUCGCUGGGGGAAGUUGGCUGAAUCCAUGCUUAUUUGUAAAAUACCCCUAUUUGGCAAAUUAAUUCUAAGCAUUUUAUAUGAGAUUCUACAAUAGCUUAGUUCAUCCAGCACUGUGACUCAAUCAUAUGAUGUGCUUUGAAAAUCUCUUUCUAAAAUUGAUUUUAAGAGCUUUUUGUUGGGAUCAUAUAGGCGCACACACAAUACUUAAUACAGAGAAAGAACAAAUAUUCAUGCUAUGGGGAGAACACUUAGUAAUGUCCCUUCAUUUCAGACAUACAAAGGAAGGCACAAAUAACUCUCACAAAAUGUAAUAAAACAACAAAAAAAUGCAAUAUUGCAAAUAAACAAGGUGUUGACCAGCUUUGAAACAUUUGAUCGUGAAAGGGCCAGACAGAAAUUCUACUCAUCUACCUUUCAACAGUCAUCCAUAAAUGUGUAUUUCAAAAUCUUAAUUCUGUAAUCUAACCCACAUGGGGAGCUUGCAGUCUGCAUGCAGGGAUGUGACUGAUUUUCUGCUUUUAAGGCCUCCAUUCUGUAAUCUUGCUCAAAUGUACAUGGCCUAAAAGUAAGAUUCUUACCUUCCCAAGUAUGCACCUCAGUAAAAAUUUACUUGCAUUAAAAACCAAAAAUGUAGGGGCAUUUAGACCAGCUUCACUGGAACUUCUGGAAUUCAUUACUGGAGCAGAGAAACAAGGUCAUUUUUAUCUUGCUGUUAUCUAUGACUUUAAAGAGGCCCACAAUCAAACCUUAGCAAUAUUACUUCUUCAUAAAGACUGAUACUAUCAUACUCACCUUCAGUAAAACAAAGGCACCGGUCAGAACUGUUCGUUCUCUGUAAAACUGAAUCCUGAGCUCCAGACGUUCUGGAGAAACAUAAAGAAGACAUAAUUUUAAAAUGUUUAUAACAUUUAUAAAAAUAUUGAGCAUACCCAGAAAGAAAGAAAAAAAAAAAAAAAAAAAAACACGUCC
rnacentral:lncRNA from 1 species